GAUUUCUGGUUUGGUGCGCGCGGUCCGCUGCGGUUUCGUAGCGUGUGCUGUUGUGCGCCUGCCAUCGUUUGAGGCAGGGGCGUGCUCUUCACUGGGUGCGUCUUUAUCUCAAUCUUUUACUUUGAAAAAAUUAGAGUGUUCAAAGCAGGCUUGCGCUAUGAAUACAUUAGCAUGGAAUAAUAAUCUAGGACUUCGGUUCUAUUUUGUUGGUUUCUAUAACUGAAGUAAUGAUUGAUAGGGAUAGUUGGGGGUGCUAGUAUUGGCCGGCCAGAGGUGAAAUUCUUGGAUUCGGUCAAGACUAACUUAUGCGAAAGCAUU
rnacentral:rRNA from 1 species